UGCCAGCCGCCGCGGUAAUACGAACUGUGCGAACGUUAUUCGGAAUCACUGGGCUUAAAGGGUGCGUAGGCGGCGAUAUAGGUCAGGUGUGAAAUCCCACGGCUCAACCGUGGAACUGCGCUUGAAACCAUAUUGCUUGAGGGAGUCAGAGGUAAGCGGAACUGAUGGUGGAGCGGUGAAAUGCGUUGAUAUUAUCAGGAACACCGGUGGCGAAAGCGGCUUACUGGGACUUUUCUGACGCUGAGGCACGAAAGCCAGGGGAGCGAACGGGAUUAGAUA
rnacentral:rRNA from 1 species